rnacentral:rRNA from 1 species
UACGGAGGGUGCAAGCGUUAUCCGGAUUCACUGGGUUUAAAGGGUGCGUAGGCGGGUUGGGAAGUCCGUGGUGAAAUCCCCAAGCUUAACUUGGGAACUGCCGUGGAUACUAUCAAUCUUGAAUAUCGUGGAGGUAAGCGGAAUAUGUCAUGUAGCGGUGAAAUGCUUAGAUAUGACAUAGAACACCAAUUGCGUAGGCAGCUUACUACACGAUCAUUGACGCUGAGGCACGAAAGCGUGGGGAGCAAACAGG